AGUUGUAGAAUCACUGGUGAAUAAGGGGUGGGCAAGUUCUGGUGUCAGCCGCCGCGGUAAAACCAGCACCUCGAGUGGUCAGGAGGUUUAUUGGGCCUAAAGCAUCCGUAGCCGGUUGCAUAAGUUUUCGGUUAAAUCUAUGCGCUUAACGUAUAGGCCGCCGAAAAUACUGUGCAGCUAGGGAGUGGGAGAGGUACACGGUACUCGAUAGGAAGGGGUAAAAUCCUUUGAUCUAUUGAUGACCACCUGUGGCGAAGGCGGUGUACCAGAACACGUUCGACGGUGAGGGAUGAAAGCUGGGGGAGCAAACCGGAUUAGAUACCCGGGUAGUCCCAGCUGUAAACGAUGCAGACUCGGUGAUGCAUUGGCUUGUGGCCAAUGCAGUGCCGCAGGGAAGCCGUUAAGUCUGCCGCCUGGGAAGUACGUACGCAAGUAUGAAACUUAAAGGAAUUGGCGGGGGAGCACCACAAGGGGUGAAGCCUGCGGUUCAAUUGGAGUCAACGCCAGAAAUCUUACCUGGGGAGACAGCAGAAUGAAGGUCAAGCUGAAGACUUUACCAGACACGCUGAGAGGUGGUGCAUGGCCGUCGCCAGCUCGUGCCGUGAGAUGUCCUGUUAAGUCAGGUAACGAGCGAGACCCCUGCGUCUAGUUGCUACCAUUACUCUCUGGAGCAGUGGAGCGAAUUAGACGGACCGCCACAGUUAAUGUGGAGGAAGGAAGGGGCCACGGCAGGUCAGUAUGCCCCGAAACCCUAGGGCUACACGCGGGCUGCAAUGGUAUUGACAUGUGUUCCGAAUCCGAAAGGAGGAGGCAAUCAUCAAACAUAUCUCAGUUAUGACUGAGG
rnacentral:rRNA from 1 species